GUGGGGAAUAUUGGACAAUGGGCGAAAGCCUGAUCCAGCCAUGCCGCGUGUGUGAAGAAGGUCUUCGGAUUGUAAAGCACUUUAAGUUGGGAGGAAGGGCAGUAACCUAAUACGUUAUUGUUUUGACGUUACCGACAGAAUAAGCACCGGCUAACUUCGUGCCAGCAGCCGCGGUAAUACGAAGGGUGCAAGCGUUAAUCGGAAUUACUGGGCGUAAAGCGCGCGUAGGUGGUUCAGUAAGUUGGAAGUGAAAUCCCCGGGCUCAACCUGGGAAAUGCUUUCAAAACUGCUGAGCUAGAGUACGGUAGAGGGUGGUGGAAUUUCCUGUGUAGCGGUGAAAUGCGUAGAUAUAGGAAGGAACACCAGUGGCGAAGGCGACCACCUGGACUGAUACUGACACUGAGGUGCGAAAGCGUGGGGAGCAAACAGGAUUAGAUACCCUUGUAGUCC
rnacentral:rRNA from 1 species